AGUGAACGCUGGCGGUAGGCCUAACACAUGCAAGUCGAACGGCAGCACAGUAAUAGCUUGCUCUUACGGGUGGCGAGUGGCGGACGGGUGAGGAAUACAUCGGAAUCUACUUUUUCGUGGGGGAUAACGUAGGGAAACUUACGCUAAUACCGCAUACGACCUACGGGUGAAAGCAGGGGAUCUUCGGACCUUGCGCGUUUGAAUGAGCCGAUGUCGGAUUAGCUAGUUGGCGGGGUAACGGCCCACCAAGGCGACGAUCCGUAGCUGGUCUGAGAGGAUGAUCAGCCACACUGGAACUGAGACACGGUCCAGACUCCUACGGGAGGCAGCAGUGGGGAAUAUUGGACAAUGGGCGCAAGCCUGAUCCAGCCAUACCGCGUGGGUGAAGAAGGCCUUCGGGUUGUAAAGCCCUUUUGUUGGGAAAGAAAAGCAGCAGGUUAAUACCCCGCUGUUCUGACGGUACCCAAAGAAUAAGCACCGGCUAACUUCGUG
rnacentral:rRNA from 1 species